rnacentral:rRNA from 1 species
UACGUAGGGCGCAAGCGUUAUCCGGAAUUAUUGGGCGUAAAGAGCGCGUAGGCGGUUUGUCGCGUCUGCCGUGAAAGUCCGGGGCUCAACUCCGGAUCUGCGGUGGGUACGGGCAGACUAGAGUGAUGUAGGGGAGACUGGAAUUCCUGGUGUAGCGGUGAAAUGCGCAGAUAUCAGGAGGAACACCGGUGGCGAAGGCGGUUCUCUGGGAAUAUCCUGACGCUGAGGAGCGAAAGUGUGGGGAGCGAACAGG